rnacentral:lncRNA from 1 species
UGCUGAGGAAUGCAGAGAGGGCAGGCAUCCUUUGGCUCACUCCGAUGGCUUUCAAGCAAAGAGUCCAGACUGCUUCGCAGGCGUCUGUUCACGCACCUAGUUCUGAGCUGCAUCGACUGAUCGAUAAGCCUCAGCGCCCAGGAUCCAGGGACUUUGUCUCCACUUGCGGGCAGGCCAGCCGGAGGGCAGUAAACAAGAGCUCUGAAAGGGGAAGGAAGCCAGGAGAAAGCCAGCUCCAUUAGUCACGCAGCUGCAUAUCCUGUCACAAAGGACCCCAGUUGAGUAAUCGCCCAAAAUAUGCCUGUUAUUUUUUUCUGUCAGAAAAAAAUGGGGCUUGCCAAAAUGUACUGUAAAAAAAGAAAAAAAAAAAAAAAUCUGGUCUGUCAGCCCCAGAGGGGGAAAGGACAAGAAAGAAGAAACAGGCGUAACUUCUCAGCACUCUCUGACCGUCUCUCAACGUAUCCCUAAAACGCCUUCACACUCCUCGCAGCCAUGGAGCCUGGCUGGAGAGAAGCUAGCUCUGUGAGCUGUUCCAGGCCUCAGGGUCCUUGUCGUACACGGAGCGGAGAGCUGGAAAAGAGGAGGGGCAGGGGGAGAGGGUGGCAGGAGGACAGGGCAAAUGAACAGAAAGGGGACCGGAAUAUUGAACAAGUCCUUUGAUGGACUUUAAGUGGGUGAGCUAAUUGUCCCACGGGGAACCUGGGGCAGCCACACCAGUGCAGUGAGGCGGCAUGAGCCCAGCCAGCGGCCGAUCACGCUUCGUAAGCUUUUCUGAUGGCCUCAGCGAAACCACCCUUGUCCCAGGCCUCGGGCUGUUUGGGCCACAGAUGGAACAACAAGAGUUUGUGUGGAAGGAUGUCUGAGUCUGGGGAGGUCUGAAGAACCGGGGCUGGGGCAGGACCGGAGCUGCCUACAGUCUCCGGCGUUGUCCUAGAUUAGCUUUCCAGAAGCGAGGCCCGGCAAACAAAGGUGUCCUAAAGCCCGGUUCAGUUGCCGCUUCUGUACCAUGAUCUCAGGACCAGGACACAAAGGAUGGUCAAUCCAAGUACAGAGCACUCUUGGAAAGACGAUAUCCCUCCUAUUCAAGUUCUGAUCCAGUCCAUGGGGAAGGAGACUUUCCCGACCCAGUUGACAAACGCAUAAGCAAGAAGCCUUCUCCUGGAGAAAGAGAACGG